UAUGUUUACGGAUGGUAGAAAGCUCCUCUAUUUUGACAGCCAUGGCAGAUGUCCACCGGAAAUAAAAGAUCAUGUCGACUGGAACAGUGUUCAGGUCCAAGGUAAUUUUAAUAACACAUGUGCGUUACAUUGUAUAUUUGUGGCCAAUAAAUUAGGGGAAGGCAAAUCGUUAAGAGAUAUAUUUCUGGAGCCUGAAUAUUCAUCUGGAAGCUGCGACCAUAUAGAUGAUAAUAUUAUCAAAUACUAUGAAGCCCUUGUUAAAAAGUAUAGACUUUAAAAGGUACUUAGAGCUUGAUGGUAGAAGAAAUAACCUGAUUUUCUUUGGAGCAGAAGAAGAAAGUGACAACAAAGAUAAGUUUAUUGUCUGAAUUUGAUUUCUCCUAUAACAAGCAGAAAAAAAAUGACGAAUUCAAAAAUAUUGCUAGCAAUUACACAUGUUUUGAGAAUCCCAGAACUGAUAUCAUUUUUAGCAAACCUUUCAGGAGGUGUUGUGGUGCUUGUGAAAAAAUCCAUCUGCACAAUGCUUAAUUUAAUAUGAAUUAUUAAGAUAUGCUGAAAAGGUGUUAUAUCAUCAAUGUAUCGGAAGGUAUAGUUUAGACUUUAAGCUACUUUGUGAUCAGUCAGCUUUAAACUGGAUGAUAAAACUUGGGCACAGGUGGCGGUUAUAAUAUUUGUCAUGGCACAUGUCAUAAAAAAAAACUCUUUGGCCAGGCGGUAAGAAAAGGGAAAAGACAAGCCGAAAAAAACAAUAAUAGCUGCCAAUCCUAAAGAAGACAAUGAAAUGAAAGAGAAAGACAGAAAAUAUGAAGGAAGAAAAAAUUGGUACCUCUCCCUACAGUUGGCUUCAACGAUAGUUUCCACUCGCGUGUGUGAACGUUAGAAUAGUUUGUAUUAUAUAUGUGAUCCCAAUACCUGAACAAUAGAAUAGUUUGUAUUAUAUAUGUGAUCCCAAUACCUGAACAAUAGAAUAGUUUGUAUUGUAUAUGAGAUCCCAAUACCUCGCGUGUGUGAACAAUAGAAUAGUUUGUGUAACGGUAGUCGUGCGAUAGACGAAGUGUUCCGAUUGCUAACUUUGUCUACUGGCUGUUUGUCGGCUAAUUUCCUAUUAAAGGGAGAAUUAAUUGAUGUUGUUUGUUGUUUCUCUUUAAUUUUGCCUUUACGUCUUAAGCUUGUAUAAUCUCAUAGUUUAUAUAUUAUUAGUUUGAGUAUUAAAUAUGUAGAUAUUUAUUCAGGGAAUCAAAUUAUGAUUAUAGGCAUUUAGUUAAGUUUAUUAUGUUUACCUAAUAAGCUUCCCUCAAAAUACGUGGUCUUUCGUAGAUCAUCAUGGCAGCCAAAUGCAUGAAAUCGGGAAAGGGGUGAAGUCAAAAAGUUUUCACGUAAUGUUUAGUGAAAUCUUCAGAAUGUACAUGUAAUAUUCAGUGAAAGCUUCAGAAUAUAAUAUUCAGCAUGUAAUCAAGUAUUAUUCAGCAUCGUCAGUAAUGAGUAAUAUUCAGCCAUGGUGUCUUCAGUAUAAUAUGUAGCACGUUGAUUAUAAUCAGAAUUAAAAGAGGAAUUCAUCCGUAUUCGAAUUCUCUCAUUAGGCUAUGUAGGCCCAUGCGUAUGCGACCUGAUUUGUGUAAGCUGAUGUGUGAACUGUUUAUAUUUGUAGCUGUUAUUUAAUAUAUAAAGUUUAUUACAUUGAAGAA